GACGAACGCCGGCGGCGUGCUUAACACAUGCAAGUCGAACGGAAAGGCCCUGCUUUUGUGGGGUGCUCGAGUGGCGAACGGGUGAGUAACACGUGAGUAACCUGCCCUCGACUUUGGGAUAACUUCAGGAAACUGGGGCUAAUACCGGAUAGGAGCUCCUGCUGCAUGGUGGGGGUUGGAAAGUUUCGGCGGUUGGGGAUGGACUCGCGGCUUAUCAGCUUGUUGGUGGGGUAGUGGCUUACCAAGGCUUUGACGGGUAGCCGGCCUGAGAGGGUGACCGGCCACAUUGGGACUGAGAUACGGCCCAGACUCCUACGGGAGGCAGCAGUGGGGAAUAUUGCACAAUGGGCGGAAGCCUGAUGCAGCAACGCCGCGUGCGGGAUGACGGCCUUCGGGUUGUAAACCGCUUUCGCCUGUGACGAAGCGUGAGUGACGGUAAUGGGUAAAGAAGCACCGGCUAACUACGUG
rnacentral:rRNA from 1 species